rnacentral:rRNA from 1 species
UUAGUUUUUUAAUUGAAGGCUAGAAUGAAUGGUUGGACAAGAAAUAAUCUGUUCUUAAUUAAAGGUAUUGAAUUUAACUUUUAAGUGAAAAGGCUUAAAUGAUCUGAAGGGACGAUAAGACCCUAUAAAACUUUAUAUUUAAGAGUAGAAAUUAGUUUUAUUUAAAGGUUACUGUUCUAUAAUAUUUAGUUGGGGCGACAGGGAUAGAAGAAAGAGUAACUGUCUUUUUUUUUUACAAAGAUAUUUGGUUUAAUGAUCCUAAAAUGGAUUAAAGAUUAAGUUACUUUAGGGAUAACAGCGUAAUUUUCUUUAAGAGUUCUUAUCGACGGGAAAGUUUGCGACCUCGAUGUUGAAUUAAAGGUUCUUUAUAGAGUAGAAACUAUAAUAGAAGGUCUGUUCGACCUUUAAAAUUUUACAUGAUUUGAGUUC